AAACUGGGACUAAUACCGGAUACGACUAUCUGACGCAUGUCAUGGUGGUGGAAAGCUUUUGCGGUUUUGGAUGGACUCGCGGCCUAUCAGCUUGUUGGUGGGGUAAUGGCCUACCAAGGCGACGACGGGUAGCCGGCCUGAGAGGGUGACCGGCCACACUGGGACUGAGACACGGCCCAGACUCCUACGGGAGGCAGCAGUGGGGAAUAUUGCACAAUGGGCGAAAGCCUGAUGCAGCGACGCCGCGUGAGGGAUGACGGCCUUCGGGUUGUAAACCUCUUUCAGUAGGGAAGAAGCGAAAGUGACGGUACCUGCAGAAGAAGCGCCGGCUAACUACGUGCCAGCAGCCGCGGUAAUACGUAGGGCGCAAGCGUUAUCCGGAAUUAUUGGGCGUAAAGAGCUCGUAGGCGGUUUGUCGCGUCUGCUGUGAAAGACCGGGGCUCAACUCCGGUUCUGCAGUGGGUACGGGCAGACUAGAGUGCAGUAGGGGAGACUGGAAUUCCUGGUGUAGCGGUGAAAUGCGCAGAUAUCAGGAGGAACACCGAUGGCGAAGGCAGGUCUCUGGGCUGUAACUGACGCUGAGGAGCGAAAGCAUGGGGAGCGAACAGGAUUAGAUACCCUGGUAGUCCAUGCCGUAAACGUUGGGCACUAGGUGUGGGGGACAUUCCACGUUUUCCGCGCCGUAGCUAACGCAUUAAGUGCCCCGCCUGGGGAGUACGGCCGCAAGGCUAAAACUCAAAGGAAUUGACGGGGGCCCGCACAAGCGGCGGAGCAUGCGGAUUAAUUCGAUGCAACGCGAAGAACCUUACCAAGGCUUGACAUGAACCGGAAAGACCUGGAAACAGGUGCCCCGCUUGCGGUCGGUUUACAGGUGGUGCAUGGUUGUCGUCAGCUCGUGUCGUGAGAUGUUGGGUUAAGUCCCGCAACGAGCGCAACCCUCGUUCUAUGUUGCCAGCGCGUUAUGGCGGGGACUCAUAGGAGACUGCCGGGGUCAACUCGGAGGAAGGUGGGGACGACGUCAAAUCAUCAUGCCCCUUAUGUCUUGGGCUUCACGCAUGCUACAAUGGCCGGUACAAAGGGUUGCGAUACUGUGAGGUGGAGCUAAUCCCAAAAAGCCGGU
rnacentral:rRNA from 1 species